rnacentral:ncRNA from 1 species
GUGAGCCGUAUGAGGUGAAAGUCUCACGUACGGGUCUAACGGGGGGCAUGGGGAGACGUGCCGUAAGGUAACGCGCCCUGUGCCUACCCAGU